rnacentral:rRNA from 1 species
UACGUAGGGUGCGAGCGUUAAUCGGAAUUACUGGGCGUAAAGCGUGCGCAGGCGGUUUGUAAGUCUGUCGUGAAAUCCCCGGGCUUAACCUGGGAAUUGCGAUGGAGACUGCAAGGCUAGAAUCUGGCAGAGGGGGGGGUAGAAUUCCACGUGUAGCAGUGAAACUGCGUAGAGAUGUGGGAGGAACACCGAUGGCGAAGGCAGCCCCCUGGGUCAAGAUUGACGCUCAUGCACGAAA